UUAAGCGACUAAGCGUACACGGUGGAUGCCCUGGCAGUCAGAGGCGAUGAAGGGCGUGCUAAUCUGCGAUAAGCGCCGGUAAGGUGAUAUGAACCGUUAUAACCGGCGAUACCCGAAUGGGGAAACCCAGUGUGAUUCGUCACACUAUCAUUAACUGAAUCCAUAGGUUAAUGAGGCGAACCGGGGGAACUGAAACAUCUAAGUACCCCGAGGAAAAGAAAUCAACCGAGAUUCCCCCAGUAGCGGCGAGCGAACGGGGAGGAGCCCAGAGCCUGAAUCAGCAUGUGUGUUAGUGGAAGCGUCUGGAAAGGCGCGCGAUACAGGGUGACAGCCCCGUACACAAAAGCGCAUGUGCUGUGAGCUCGAUGAGUAGGGCGGGACACGUGGUAUCCUGUCUGAAUAUGGGGGGACCAUCCUCCAAGGCUAAAUACUCCUGACUGACCGAUAGUGAACCAGUACCGUGAGGGAAAGGCGAAAAGAACCCCGGCGAGGGGAGUGAAAAAGAACCUGAAACCGUGUACGUACAAGCAGUGGGAGCACAGGUUUACCUGUGUGACUGCGUACCUUUUGUAUAAUGGGUCAGCGACUUAUAUUCUGUAGCAAGGUUAACCGUAUAGGGGAGCCGGAGGGAAACCGAGUCUUAAUUGGGCGUUAAGUUGCAGGGUAUAGACCCGAAACCCGGUGAUCUAGCCAUGGGCAGGUUGAAGGUUGGGUAACACUAACUGGAGGACCGAACCGACUAAUGUUGAAAAAUUAGCGGAUGACCUGUGGCUGGGGGUGAAAGGCCAAUCAAACCGGGAGAUAGCUGGUUCUCCCCGAAAGCUAUUUAGGUAGCGCCUCGUGAAUUCAUCUCCGGGGGUAGAGCACUGUUUCGGCUAGGGGGCCAUCCCGGCUUACCAACCCGAUGCAAACUGCGAAUACCGGAGAAUGUUAUCACGGGAGACACACGGCGGGUGCUAACGUCCGUCGUGAAGAGGGAAACAACCCAGACCGCCAGCUAAGGUCCCAAAGUCAUGGUUAAGUGGGAAACGAUGUGGGAAGGCCCAGACAGCCAGGAUGUUGGCUUAGAAGCAGCCAUCAUUUAAAGAAAGCGUAAUAGCUCACUGGUCGAGUCGGCCUGCGCGGAAGAUGUAACGGGGCUAAACCAUGCACCGAAGCUGCGGCAGCGACACUGUGUGUUGUUGGGUAGGGGAGCGUUCUGUAAGCCUGCGAAGGUGGCCUGUGAGGGUUGCUGGAGGUAUCAGAAGUGCGAAUGCUGACAUAAGUAACGAUAAAGCGGGUGAAAAGCCCGCUCGCCGGAAGACCAAGGGUUCCUGUCCAACGUUAAUCGGGGCAGGGUGAGUCGACCCUAAGGCGAGGCCGAAAGGCGUAGUCGAUGGGAAACGGGUUAAUAUUCCCGUACUUGGUGUUACUGCGAAGGGGGGACGGAGAAGGCUAUGUUGGCCGGGCGACGGUUGUCCCGGUUUAAGCGUGUAGGCUGGUUUUCCAGGCAAAUCCGGAAAAUCAAGGCUGAGGCGUGAUGACGAGGCACUACGGUGCUGAAGCAACAAAUGCCCUGCUUCCAGGAAAAGCCUCUAAGCAUCAGGUAACACGAAAUCGUACCCCAAACCGACACAGGUGGUCAGGUAGAGAAUACCAAGGCGCUUGAGAGAACUCGGGUGAAGGAACUAGGCAAAAUGGUGCCGUAACUUCGGGAGAAGGCACGCUGACACGUAGGUGAAGUGAUUUACUCAUGGAGCUGAAGUCAGUCGAAGAUACCAGCUGGCUGCAACUGUUUAUUAAAAACACAGCACUGUGCAAACACGAAAGUGGACGUAUACGGUGUGACGCCUGCCCGGUGCCGGAAGGUUAAUUGAUGGGGUCAGCGCAAGCGAAGCUCCUGAUCGAAGCCCCGGUAAACGGCGGCCGUAACUAUAACGGUCCUAAGGUAGCGAAAUUCCUUGUCGGGUAAGUUCCGACCUGCACGAAUGGCGUAAUGAUGGCCAGGCUGUCUCCACCCGAGACUCAGUGAAAUUGAACUCGCUGUGAAGAUGCAGUGUACCCGCGGCAAGACGGAAAGACCCGUGAACCUUUACUAUAGCUUGACACUGAACAUUGAGCCUUGAUGUGUAGGAUAGGUGGGAGGCUUUGAAGUGUGGACGCCAGUCUGCAUGGAGCCAACCUUGAAAUACCACCCUUUAAUGUUUGAUGUUCUAACGUGGACCCGUAAUCCGGGUUGCGGACAGUGUCUGGUGGGUAGUUUGACUGGGGCGGUCUCCUCCUAAAGAGUAACGGAGGAGCACGAAGGUUGGCUAAUCCUGGUCGGACAUCAGGAGGUUAGUGCAAUGGCAUAAGCCAGCUUGACUGCGAGCGUGACGGCGCGAGCAGGUGCGAAAGCAGGUCAUAGUGAUCCGGUGGUUCUGAAUGGAAGGGCCAUCGCUCAACGGAUAAAAGGUACUCCGGGGAUAACAGGCUGAUACCGCCCAAGAGUUCAUAUCGACGGCGGUGUUUGGCACCUCGAUGUCGGCUCAUCACAUCCUGGGGCUGAAGUAGGUCCCAAGGGUAUGGCUGUUCGCCAUUUAAAGUGGUACGCGAGCUGGGUUUAGAACGUCGUGAGACAGUUCGGUCCCUAUCUGCCGUGGGCGCUGGAGAACUGAGGGGGCUGCUCCUAGUACGAGAGGACCGGAGUGGACGCAUCACUGGUGUUCGGGUUGUCAUGCCAAUGGCACUGCCCGGUAGCUAAAUGCGGAAGAGAUAAGUGCUGAAAGCAUCUAAGCACGAAACUUGCCCCGAGAUGAGUUCUCCCUGAGACUUAGAGUCUCCUGAAGGAACGUUGAAGACGACGACGUUGAUAGGCCGGGUGUGUAAGCGCAGCGAUGCGUUGAGCUAACCGGUACUAAUGAACCGUGAGGCUUAACCUU
rnacentral:rRNA from 1 species